AUUUUCGCAUCCGAACUGUUACCUUAAGGUAGCGUGGCUGGGACACCAGCAUAGGUUCGAAGAUUGGG
rnacentral:sRNA from 1 species